rnacentral:rRNA from 1 species
AGAGUUUGAUCCUGGCUCAGGACGAACGCUGGCGGCGGGCUUAACACAUGCAAGUCGCGGGAGAACCGCCCUCUUCGGAGGGCGGGGGCACCGGCGGAUGGGUGAGUAACGCGUAGGCAAUCUGCCCGGGAGACGGGGAUAACGCGCCGAAAGGCGCGCUAAUACCCGAUGAUGCAGCGGGGUCGCAUGACCACAGUUGUUAAAGGCCUUCGGGCCGCUUUCGGAGGAGCCUGCGUGCCAUUAGCUAGUUGGGGGGGUAACGGCCUCCCAAGGCGAUGAUGGCUAGGGGGUCUGAGAGGAUGAUCCCCCACACUGGGACUGAGACACGGCCCAGACUCCUACGGGAGGCAGCAGUGAGGAAUCUUGCGCAAUGGGGGCAACCCUGACGCAGCCACGCCGCGUGCUGGAAGACGGCCCUAUGGGUUGUAAACAGCUUUUGGGCGGGAAGAACCCGGGAUGUUCGCAUCCCGCUGACGGUACCGCCCGAAUAAGCACCGGCUAACUCCGUGCCAGCAGCCGCGGUAAUACGGAGGGUGCAAGCGUUGUCCGGAAUUAUUGGGUGUAAAGGGUGCGCAGGCGUCCCGGCAUGUUUUCGGUGAAAUCCUCCCGCUCAACGGGAGAAGCGCCGGAAAAACGGUCGGGAUUGAGUCCGGAAGAGGCCAGUGGAAAUUGGUGGUGUAGCGGUGAAAAUGCAUUAGAG